rnacentral:sRNA from 1 species
CUUACGCAUUUGCAGCGGAAAUCCUUUUUUGUGGCGCGCAGCAAAAUAAAAAAGAUUGCAGCGGAAAGCAGGAAACAGC